rnacentral:rRNA from 1 species
AUACCGGGCCUUUUUGGGCUUGGUAAUUGGAAUGAGGGAGAGUUAAACGGACCAUCGAGUAUCCAUUGGAGGGCAAGUCUGGUGCCAGCAGCUGCGGUAAUACCAGCUCCAAUAGCGUAUAUUAAAGUUGUUGCAGUUAAAAAGCUCGUAGUUGGACUUGUGUGCGCUGUCCGCGGGUGGCCUGCGCCCAAAAGGGCGUUUCGGUUCGACCCCGGUGGCGCCUUGAAAUCUGCAGCUGGGGGGACGUUGGCCUUAACUGGUCGGCGACCGCACGCCGGCUGCUCGGUUACUGUGAGAAAAUUAGAGUGUUCAAGGCAGGCAUUGGGUGCAAUUGAAUACAUUAGCAUGGAAUAAUAAGAUAUGGCUCCUGCCGUAUUUUGUUGGUUUUGACUGGUGGGAGUAAUGAUUGAUAGGGACGUUUGGGGGUGCUAGUAUUGAGCGGCCAGAGGUGAAAUUCAUGGAUUCGCUCAAGACUAACUUAUGCGAAAGCAUUCACCAAGGACGUCCUCUUUAAUCAAGAACGAAAGUUGGGGGAUCGAAGACGAUCAGAUACCGUCGUAGUCUCAACCAUAAACUAUGUCGACUUGGGAUCGGCGGUAGUUUUUUCAUUAAGACACUGUCGGGACCACGGGAGAAAUCAAAGUGUCUGGACUCUGGGGGAAGUAUGGUCGCAAGGCUGAAACUUGAAGGAAUUGACGGAAGGGCACCACCAGGAGUGGAGCCUGCGGCUUAAUUUGACCCAACACGGGGAAGCUUACCAGGUCCAGAGAUGUAGAGGAUUGACAGAUUGAAGCUCUUUCUUGAUCACUUCGGUGGUGGUGCAUGGCCGUUCUUAGUUGGUGGAGUGAUUUGUCUGGUUAAUUCCGUUAACGAACGAGACCUCAGCCUGCUAGUGUAGUCGGCUGGAUUGCCUUUGGCGAUCCGUGAUUUCGACUUCUUAGAGGGACAAUCGACGCGCAGUCGAUGGAAGUUUGAGGCAAUAACAGGUCUGUGAUGCCCUUAGAUGUUCUGGGCCGCACGCGCGCUACACUGCUGGGCUCAGCGAGUUUUACUUGGCCGAGAGGCCCGGUUAAUCUUGUGAAAUCCCAGCGUGCUUGGGCUCGCCUCCUGCAACUGGAGGCGCCAACGAGGAAUUCCUAGUAGACGCAGGUCAUCAACCUGCAUCGAUUACGUCCCUGCCCUUUGUACACACCGCCCGUCGUUCCAUAAGAGUGAGGCAUCCGGUGAAUUCUCGGGAGAGCCUGGGCGUGGCCAGCAAUGGUCUGCUCGGGUUUGAACUUGCAUAAACUUGGUGCCUAUGAUUAGGG